AAAAAAAAAAAAAAAUUCGAGCCAUCUCCUUCUCCAAUUGGGAACACUGACUUUAUCGUUUAAAUCGUUCGACUUUUUCUUUUAUUAGAAAAAAAAAAACGGUUUUUGUACAUCUCUAACUUUGUCCAUAUAAUUAUCUCACUCUCACUUUCACAUAUAAUCUUGAUUUAUUCAUGGACUAAGAAUCGAUGAUAUGACUCGGUAUAAUUUUGUUUUUCUAUAAAAGCGCCGCGGAAAGAUUUGCGUUGUCAACGAGAUAACGAUCUACGCUGGAUCGAUCGAUAGAUAUUUCGAGCCCUGUUCGAAGGACGCGAUUAAUCUUAAAGAGCCGACAACAGGUAUGACAAAUUGUGCUAAUUAGUUUCGCCAAGACGUCAAAGAUGCCAAGUCGUCCUACUAGCACGAUAAUCUCUGAACCGAACAAACGCGAGGGAAAGACUUUCGCGAACGCGGCCCCGUCUUUCCUUCCUCGCAGGACGCAUGCGACGACAAUGAUGAUGACGAUGACGACGAUGACGGAAAUUAGCGGUUUCUAUUUCGUGCUCGCCCAACGUGAAAGGCACGGGACGGAUUGAAUCGGACGAGGUGUCAUUAUGGGCGAAAUAACGGUCUGUUCCUUCAACGAGGACGACGCGAACAAUAGUUAUUUAUCCGAGAGAUCAGCCCUCCGCUGAGAAAAGGGGAAAUUGAAGGAAGUGCAAUGCUUGUGAAAGGGAAAAGAAAAACGAUGAUUCCAGGUGAAUCAAUGGAGGCUUCCUUAAUGGAUUCGCUUAAUUUUUUCUACGACUCUCACGGAUCUUCUCCCCGUCGUCGCGACUGUUGAGAGCAACCCCUCCAGUACCGGGGAGGAAACUUUCCCUAUGAGUGAAAGCGGUGCUAAGGUCAUGGGCGCAGUCGGAAAAUUGUCGAGUAAACCGGUUCUCUCGCGAGUAUCACCGAUUCUUCGAUCGAUCCAUCGUCGCCGUCAUUCUCAUCGAUAUGUAUGUACGACAUAUAGUGCUUUAUGCCGUGCUUCUUUUUGUGGAAAUAAAAUGACUGCAGGAUAUAUAUACAUAAAACACGAUUGCGCGAUUUCUCUCGCACGCGAUUGCUAUCAUAGAGAAAAGUAUGAUUGGCAGCAGACAAUAAAAAAAAAAAAAAAAAAACC